AUUGAACGCUGGCGGCAUGCCUUACACAUGCAAGUCGAACGGCAGCACGGGAGCAAUCCUGGUGGCGAGUGGCGAACGGGUGAGUAAUAUAUCGGAACGUGCCCAGUCGUGGGGAUAACGUAGCGAAAGCUACGCUAAUACCGCAUACGAUCUAUGGAUGAAAGCGGGGGAUCGCAAGACCUCGCGCGAUUGGAGCGGCCGAUAUCAGAUUAGGUAGUUGGUGAGGUAAAGGCUCACCAAGCCGACGAUCUGUAGCUGGUCUGAGAGGACGACCAGCCACACUGGAACUGAGACACGGUCCAGACUCCUACGGGAGGCAGCAGUGGGGAAUUUUUGGACAAUGGACGCAAGUCUGAUCCAGCCAUUCCGCGUGCAGGAUGAAGGCCCUCGGGUUGUAAACUGCUUUUGUACGGAACGAAAGGUUUGUCUUAAUACGAUGAGCUCAUGACGGUACCGUAAGAAUAAGCACCGGCUAACUACGUG
rnacentral:rRNA from 1 species